UGGGGAAUAUUGCACAAUGGGCGAAAGCCUGAUGCAGCGACGCCGCGUGAGGGAUGACGGCCUUCGGGUUGUAAACCUCUUUCAGCAGGGAAGAAGCGAAAGUGACGGUACCUGCAGAAGAAGCGCCGGCUAACUACGUGCCAGCAGCCGCGGUAAUACGUAGGGCGCAAGCGUUGUCCGGAAUUAUUGGGCGUAAAGAGCUCGUAGGCGGUUAGUCGCGUCUGCUGUGAAAACUCGAGGCUCAACCUCGGGCUUGCAGUGGGUACGGGCUGACUAGAGUGCAGUAGGGGUGACUGGAAUUCCUGGUGUAGCGGUGGAAUGCGCAGAUAUCAGGAGGAACACCGAUGGCGAAGGCAGGUCACUGGCCGCAACUGACGCUGAGGAGCGAAAGCAUGGGGAGCGAACAGGAUUAGAUACCCUGGUAGUCCAUGCCGUAAACGUUGGGCACUAGGUGUGGGGUCCAUUCCACGGAUUCCGUGCCGCAGCAAACGCAUUAAGUGCCCCGCCUGGGGAGUACGGCCGCAAGGCUAAAAACUCAAAGGAAUUGAC
rnacentral:rRNA from 1 species